rnacentral:lncRNA from 1 species
GAUUUUGGCCAAUUUCUUUCUUUUGGAAUGGGAGCAUUUACCCAAUGCCUGUACCUUCAUUAUAUCUUGGAAGUAACUAUUUUUUUUUUUUUGAGACGGAGUUUUAAUCUUGUUACCCAGGCUGGAGUGCAAUGGCGUGAUCUCGGCUCACUGCAACCUCCGCCUCCUGGGUUCAGGCAAUUCUCCUGCCUCAGCCUCCUGAGUAGCUGGGAUUAGAGGCAUGUGCCACCAUGCUCAGCUAAUCUUUUGUAUCUUUAGUAGAGACGGGGUUUCACCAUUUUGACCAGGAUGGUCUUGAUCUCUUGACCUCGUGAUCCACCCGCCUUGGCCUCCCAAAGUUCAGGGAUUACAGGUGGAAGUAAGCAAUUUUAAAAAAAUUUUACAGCAUUAUAGGUGGAAAGAAUUUGCCAUCUCAGAUGAGACUUGGACUUGGACUUUUGAGUUAAUGCUGGAAUGAGUUAAGCUUUAUGAGACUGUUAGGAAGGCAUUAUUGGUUUUGAAAUGUGAGUAGUACAUGAGAUUUGGGAGUGUCCAGAAUUUGAAUAGUAUGGUCUUACUCUUUGUCCCCAUGCAAAUCUCACCUUGGAUUAUACUCCCCACAUGUCAAGGAACAGGCCUGGUGGGAGGUGAUUAAAUAAUGGUGGUGGUUAUUAUCUCAUGAAAGUAAGUUAGUUCUCAUGAAAUUUGGUUGUUUCAAACUGUGUAGCACUUUCUGCUUUGCUCUCUUUCUCUCCUACCACCAUGUAAGAUGUGCCCUGAUUCCCCUUCACCUUCAAUUGUAUGUUUCCUGAGGAUUACACAGCCAUGCAGAACUGUUUUGAGACAAGCAGCAUAGGCUUCUGUUCUGCCGUCUUGCUCCACCCUGCCAAGAUAUUAUUUCAGAAGAGUCAAAGACUAAAAGGCGGGCCACGCGCGGUGGCUCAAGCCUAUAAUCCCAGCACUUUGGGAGGCCGAGGCGGGUGGAUCACGAGGUCAAGAGAUCGAGACCAUCCUGGUCAACAUGGUGAGACACCAUCUCUACUAAAAAUACAAAAAAUUAGCUGGGCACUUUACGAAAGAAGACAUAUAUGA